AUCGAACGCUGGCGGCAGGCCUAACACAUGCAAGUCGAACGAGUGGCGGACGGGUGAGUAAUGUCUGGGAAACUGCCUGAUGGAGGGGGAAAACUACUGGAAACGGUAGCUAAUACCGCAUAACAUCAGAUGUGCCCAGAUGGGAUUAGCUAGUUGGUGUGGUAACGGCUGACCAAGACGACGAUCCCUAGCUGGUCUAAGAGGAUGACCAGCCACACGUGACCUAAGACACGGUCCAGACUCCUACGGGAGGCAGCAGUGGGGAAUAUUGCACAAUGGGCGCAAGCCUGAUGCAGACAUGCCGCGUGUAUGAAGAAGGCCUUCGGGUUGUAAAGUACUUUCAGCUGGGAGGCGUUACCCGCAGAAGAAGCCCCGGCUAACUCCGUGCCAGCAGCCGCGGUAAUAC
rnacentral:rRNA from 1 species